UACAGAGGUGGCAAGCGUUGUUCGGAAUUACUGGGCGUAAAGGGCGCGUAGGCGGCCAUCUAAGUCAGACGUGAAAUCCCCCGGCUUAACCUGGGAACUGCGUCUGAUACUGGAUGGCUGGAGUUUGGGAGAGGGAUGCGGAAUUCCAGGUGUAGCGGUGAAAUGCGUAGAUAUCUGGAGGAACACCGGUGGCGAAGGCGGCAUCCUGGACCAACACUGACGCUGAGGAGCGAAAGCCAGGGGAGCAAAGCGGG
rnacentral:rRNA from 1 species